GUUGUGCUGCACCCCGUGAACAAUAUUGUUAACAAGUUGUUCAACCAUCAGUACUGUUGCAAGUUGUUAACAUGAUUGUCAACAAGUUGCAACAAUGUUGAUGGUUCAACAACUUGUUAACAAUAUUGUUCACGGGGUGCAGCACAAC
rnacentral:miRNA from 1 species